rnacentral:rRNA from 1 species
GGUUAAGUUAGAAAGGGCGCACGGUGGAUGCCUUGGCACUAGGAGCCGAUGAAGGACGGGACGAACACCGAUAUGCUUCGGGAGCUGUAAGCAAGCUUUGAUCCGGAGAUUUCCGAAUGGGGAAACCCACCACUCGUAAUGGAGUGGUAUCCAUAUCUGAAUACAUAGGAUAUGAGAAGGCAGACCCGGGGAACUGAAACAUCUAAGUACCCGGAGGAAGAGAAAGCAAAUGCGAUUCCCUGAGUAGCGGCGAGCGAAACGGGAUCAGCCCAAACCAAGAGGCUUGCCUCUUGGGGUUGUAGGACACUCUGUACGGAGUUACAAAGGAACGAGGUAGAUGAAGAGGUCUGGAAAGGCCCGCCAUAGGAGGUAACAGCCCUGUAGUCAAAACUUCGUUCUCUCCUGAGUGGAUCCUGAGUACGGCGGAACACGUGAAAUUCCGUCGGAAUCCGGGAGGACCAUCUCCCAAGGCUAAAUACUCCCUAGUGACCGAUAGUGAACCAGUACCGUGAGGGAAAGGUGAAAAGCACCCCGGAAGGGGAGUGAAAGAGAUCCUGAAACCGUGUGCCUACAAGUAGUCAGAGCCCGUUAACGGGUGAUGGCGUGCCUUUUGUAGAAUGAACCGGCGAGUUACGAUCCCGUGCAAGGUUAAGCAGAAGAUGCGGAGCCGCAGCGAAAGCGAGUCUGAAUAGGGCGAAUUGAGUACGUGGUCGUAGACCCGAAACCAGGUGAUCUACCCAUGUCCAGGGUGAAGUUCAGGUAACACUGAAUGGAGGCCCGAACCCACGCACGUUGAAAAGUGCGGGGAUGAGGUGUGGGUAGGGGUGAAAUGCCAAUCGAACCUGGAGAUAGCUGGUUCUCUCCGAAAUAGCUUUAGGGCUAGCCUCAAGGUAAGAGUCUCGGAGGUAGAGCACUGAUUGGACUAGGGGCCCCUACCGGGUUACCGAAUUCAGUCAAACUCCGAAUGCCGAUGACUUAUCCUUGGGAGUCAGACUGCGAGUGAUAAGAUCCGUAGUCGAAAGGGAAACAGCCCAGACCGCCAGCUAAGGUCCCAAAGUAUACGUUAAGUGGAAAAGGAUGUGGAGUUGCUUAGACAACCAGGAUGUUGGCUUAGAAGCAGCCACCAUUUAAAGAGUGCGUAAUAGCUCACUGGUCGAGUGACUCUGCGCCGAAAAUGUACCGGGGCUAAACGUAUCACCGAAGCUGCGGACUGUUCUUCGAACAGUGGUAGGAGAGCGUUCUAAGGGCUGUGAAGCAAGACCGGAAGGACUUGUGGAGCGCUUAGAAGUGAGAAUGCCGGUAUGAGUAGCGAAAGAGGGGUGAGAAUCCCCUCCACCGAAUGCCUAAGGUUUCCUGAGGAAGGCUCGUCCGCUCAGGGUUAGUCGGGACCUAAGCCGAGGCCGAAAGGCGUAGGCGAUGGACAACAGGUUGAUAUUCCUGUACCACCUCCUCACCAUUUGAGCAAUGGGGGGACGCAGGAGGAUAGGGUAAGCGCGGUAUUGGAUAUCCGCGUCCAAGCAGUUAGGCUGGGAAAUAGGCAAAUCCGUUUCCCGUGAAGGCUGAGCUGUGAUGGCGAGCGAAUUAUAGUAGCGAAGUUCCUGAUUCCACACUGCCAAGAAAAGCCUCUAGCGAGGUGAGAGGUGCCCGUACCGCAAACCGACACAGGUAGGCGAGGAGAGAAUCCUAAGGUGAUCGAGAGAACUCUCGUUAAGGAACUCGGCAAAAUGACCCCGUAACUUCGGGAGAAGGGGUGCUCUGUUAGGGUGCAAGCCCGAGAGAGCCGCAGUGAAUAGGCCCAGGCGACUGUUUAGCAAAAACACAGGUCUCUGCGAAGCCGUAAGGCGAAGUAUAGGGGCUGACGCCUGCCCGGUGCUGGAAGGUUAAGAGGAGCGCUUAGCGUAAGCGAAGGUGCGAAUUGAAGCCCCAGUAAACGGCGGCCGUAACUAUAACGGUCCUAAGGUAGCGAAAUUCCUUGUCGGGUAAGUUCCGACCCGCACGAAAGGCGCAACGAUCUGGGCACUGUCUCAACGAGAGACUCGGUGAAAUUAUAGUACCUGUGAAGAUGCAGGUUACCCGCGACAGGACGGAAAGACCCCGUGGAGCUUUACUGCAGCCUGAUAUUGAAUGUUGGUACAGCUUGUACAGGAUAGGUAGGAGCCUUGGAAACCGGAGCGCCAGCUUCGGUGGAGGCAUCGGUGGGAUACUACCCUGGCUGUAUUGACCUUCUAACCCGCCGCCCUUAUCGGGCGGGGAGACAGUGUCAGGUGGGCAGUUUGACUGGGGCGGUCGCCUCCUAAAAGGUAACGGAGGCGCCCAAAGGUUCCCUCAGAAUGGUUGGAAAUCAUUCGCAGAGUGUAAAGGCACAAGGGAGCUUGACUGCGAGACCUACAAGUCGAGCAGGGACGAAAGUCGGGCUUAGUGAUCCGGUGGUUCCGCAUGGAAGGGCCAUCGCUCAACGGAUAAAAGCUACCCCGGGGAUAACAGGCUUAUCUCCCCCAAGAGUCCACAUCGACGGGGAGGUUUGGCACCUCGAUGUCGGCUCAUCGCAUCCUGGGGCUGUAGUCGGUCCCAAGGGUUGGGCUGUUCGCCCAUUAAAGCGGUACGCGAGCUGGGUUCAGAACGUCGUGAGACAGUUCGGUCCCUAUCCGUCGCGGGCGCAGGAAAUUUGAGAGGAGCUGUCCUUAGUACGAGAGGACCGGGAUGGACGCACCGCUGGUGUACCAGUUGUUCUGCCAAGGGCAUCGCUGGGUAGCUAUGUGCGGACGGGAUAAGUGCUGAAAGCAUCUAAGCAUGAAGCCCCCUCAAGAUGAGAUUUCCCAUUCCGCAAGGAAGUAAGAUCCCUGAAAGAUGAUCAGGUUGAUAGGUCUGAGGUGGAAGUGUGGCGACACAUGGAGCUGACAGAUACUAAUCGAUCGAGGACUUAACCAA